AGCUUUGCACAGUGGCAGUAUCGUAGCCAAUGAGGUUUAUCUGAGGCGCGAUUAUUGCUAAUAGAAAUACAAAAAAUCAUAAGAGAAUGUUAUGAAAAAACUACACAUCAAAAAAUUUCAAAACCUGGAAGAAAUGGAGAAAUU